rnacentral:rRNA from 1 species
CCUACGGGUGGCAGCAGUGGGGAAUAUUGCACAAUGGGGGAAACCCUGAUGCAGCGACGCCGCGUGAGUGAAGAAGUCUUUCGGUACGUAAAGCUCUAUCAGCAGGGAAGAAAAUGACGGUACCUGACUAAGAAGCCCCGGCUAACUACGUGCCAGCAGCCGCGGUAAUACGUAGGGGGCAAGCGUUAUCCGGAGUUACUGGGUGUACAGGGAGCGUAGACGGCAGCGGAAGGCUGGAGUGAAAUCCCAUGGCUUAACCAUGGAACUGCUUUGGAAACUGUGCAGCUAGAGUGCAGGAGAGGUAAGCGGAAUUCCUAGUGUAGCGGUGAAAUGCAUAGAUAUCACGCAGAACUCCGAUUGCGAAGGCAGCAUACCGGCGCCCAACUGACGCUGAAGCACGAAAGCGUGGGUAUCGAACAGGAUUAGAUACCCGUGUAGUC